CUUUAAGACUGAGUACUCAGCAAACCCUCAUUCGGCACCUACUGUGUGUCAGGCCCCAGCCCAGGCGUGGAGACACAGAGACACAGGCGCUUGGAAAAAGCACCCGUGAGUUGCUUCUGUUCUCCAAGAGAGACUGGAAACUUCCUAAGGGCAGAGGGUCGGCUGUCACGACAGAGACCAGGACUAACCAGGACCGGAACGAGAUACAACUUUCUCUCUCUCUCACGCCACAGUCUGGGUUUGGGCGGCCAUGGUUGAAGCCCAUGUCGAGGAGAGAGGACCGGCUCUUUCCCGCACUUGUUCUGACGUCCCUGGGGUGUUGCUUCAGUCCACAGAGUUGGCGAUGGCUCACCAUCGGGCCCCCGGUUGCACAACCCACGGGGCCACUUGCACGGGACCCAACGAGAUCAGGGCUUCCCGGACCCGUGUUACGUGGUGCCGCCACUCUCCGCCACCUCCGUGACGAGGAAAGGCGAGGAAGCGGGAGGGCAGAAGACGUGCUUCCCCUUCAAGACUCGCUCUGGAGAUUGUCCAUCUCGCUUCUGCUCACAAACCACACACCACGGCUUGGUCACAUGGCCUCGCUUGGAAGGCCGUCCGUUGUUUGCCGUGCACGGUGGGAAGGGAUUCGACCGUCUCGAUACACCAUCUUGGAUCCUGUCCUUCUGGAACAUUCUGUGUGUCGUGCUUCUUUCUAACGUGUGACACUCCACCGUCCUGCUUUCCUCCUUCCGCCCACCCACCUGUCCCUCAACAGUUUUAUCUAGACGACAUCGGGUUCAGGCGAAAACCGUGGAUGGUUCUCAAGCAGGAAGCAAAAUCCCUCAUGAUUCAUGUAUCCUGGAUGAGAGGAAGCUUCACUUUUUCACUUCAGUGAAGGUAGAAGUGACAGGGAGGGGCUGAUGGCACUUAUCUCAGGGCUUCGUGCCU